CAGGCCUAACACAUGCAAGUCGAGCGGACUUAUCCUUCGGGAUAGGUUAGCGGCGGACGGGUGAGUAACACGUAGGCAACCUGCCUGUAAGAUCGGGAUAACUACCGGAAACGGUAGCUAAGACCGGAUAGCUGGUUUCUCCGCAUGGGGGAAUCAUGAAACACGGGGCAACCUGUGGCUUACGGAUGGGCCUGCGGCGCAUUAGCUAGUUGGUGGGGUAACGGCCCACCAAGGCGACGAUGCGUAGCCGACCUGAGAGGGUGAUCGGCCACACAGGGACUGAGACACGGCCCAGACUCCUACGGGAGGCAGCAGUAGGGAAUCUUCCGCAAUGGGCGCAAGCCUGACGGAGCAACGCCGCGUGAGUGAUGAAGGUUUUCGGAUCGUAAAGCUCUGUUGCCAAGGAAGAACGCCUCGGAGAGUAACUGCUCUGAGGGUGACGGUACUUGAGAAGAAAGCCCCGGCUAACUACGUGCCAGCAGCCGCGGUAAUACGUAGGGGGCAAGCGUUGUCCGGAAUUAUUGGGCGUAAAGCGCGCGCAGGCGGUCUUUUAAGUUUGGUGUUUAAGCCCGGGGCUCAACCCCGGUUCGCACUGAAAACUGGGAGACUUGAGUGCAGGAGAGGAAAGCGGAAUUCCACGUGUAGCGGUGAAAUGCGUAGAGAUGUGGAGGAACACCAGUGGCGAGGGCGGCUUUCUGGACUGUAACUGACGCUGAGGCGCGAAAGCGUGGGGAGCAAACAGGAUUAGAU
rnacentral:rRNA from 1 species